rnacentral:misc_RNA from 1 species
GGACGAAGAAGAAAGGAAAAAUGGAAGUGGAAGAGGAGGAGGAGCCAAGCCACAAUAUUUAGGUCCGCAGAAAACAACACGCCGAUUUAUUUGAAGUCAAGGACGGAGAUUAAAACGGCCUUGAAAAACACCACACCUGUUUUGUCCACCGCCAUCACCACCUUUUCCCAGAUCAAGGAAGUGUAUUACAGACUCACACAUAAGGAAGAGGUGUGAGGUUGCGUGGUAGGUGCGUUCACUGGUCUGGGCUGUGUUGGUGCGUGUUCUGAAGAGAUGACUGCAGAAACGCUGGCUGCUGAUGACUACAGCCGCACAGAGGUAGUGUAUUGUACAAGCUGGAUGGAAGUAUGCAAACCUCGCAAUGAAGAUGGAAA